CUCUCUUUUACUGCUAUCUGCAUCUAUCAUAACAGAGGCUAUGUAGCUGUGUUCUACAGUCCCUUAGGGAAAAUGUAAGGAACACAUCCCCUACUUCACCAUAUUGCUUAUUUCACAACAUUGUCAUCAAGAAGGAGUUUAUUGGGAAAAACGUGAUCUUCAACUUUUAUCCCCUUUCUUCAACCAGAGGCAGAAGUUCCAGAUGCAACAACAAAAGUAAUUUUCAUACUAUUUCCAUCUUCUGUGAAGACAGAAACUACCAGAAAUUUUGCAAAGAAGCCAGCUCUCAACACACGUUCAAUUUGGUUUCUCACCCAAAGAGAUUCAGAUAAGCAUCAAUUGGCACAUGAGAGUGAGUGUUUGAGCAGAAGGCCUUCAUAAACAUCUAGGAGAAAUGUCCUGCUAAAUUGUGUGUGGGGAAGAGUUACAGAUCCUUGUGAAUGAUCUGUGAACAAUAAGAGAAAUUUGAGAAUUGAUGGAUAUUAGUGAAGGACAGAUUUUCAAAAUUUGGGACCUAUGUUUUGUUUGCCAAAUUUAUGCACACAGCUGAUUUGAGAUUGGGUUAAACAAUAAGCAAUCAUGGAGGAAUAAUGUGAGAAAUCCAAGGUGACUGCCAACAAAACAUUCAGAACAAUGCUCUCAGCCUUGCAGCUCCUAUCUCUUAUUUUCAGUUACUUAAACUGCUCUUUCUGCUCUUUAUAGUGAUGUUUCAAUUGUUGUAAUCUAUAAAUGAAAACCAACAAGAACCAGAAUAAUCUGUGCAAAUGUGUUCCUUAAUUUCAACAUUCUUCCUUUAUUUGGUUAUUGUUCCUCACUGUGUCAGAUUAAGAUUCUCAUGUACACGGCAUCCCUGAAAUGUGCACUGUAUUUGGAAUUGUGUUCCCACUCUGUUUUCCAGUCCUGCUUUAGUCAUUGAAGAGCAAGGGCCCCCUUUGAAUCAAUCACAAUGUCACAAAGAGCAUGAAAGCCA